rnacentral:lncRNA from 1 species
UAUGGCAGCCAAAAUCCCCAUUAAUAAUCACCACCAAGUAAAAAUAAAUCUCAAUACCCAAAAAAACGAAAUAUAUAAAAUUUAAAGACAAAUCAAAACAUUUUACCCUUUUGUGUCAAAAAGUAAAUAUUGAAUGCCUUAAUCCACAGAAUAAAUGGGCCUAAGUAAUUCUUACCACCUAUUCUCUCAUCACUUGUUAUAAACACCCCACUGAUGGCGCUAAAAACUAAACUUAUUAAAUUAAAAUUUUUGGUUUAACUCAUUUUACGUACUUAAAUCUUAUAUUUAAAUUAAAUAUUAUCUUGCUAUCAACUAUUCUAAUUUUCUAACUUAAUAAAACUAAACCCAAAAAUCCGGAAUAAAGUUUUAAAUACAAAUAAAUUUUAAGGCCGGACCUGUGCAACUUUCCACGAGUGGUUGUGACUCAGAUCAGGCGUCUAACAAAAUAGUACGUAGGCGCAUGUGGUCAAAUUUUACGAAUCAAAUGUAUAAAUUCUUAAAAAAAUGCUUAAAACAUUUAUUUAUUUAAUGAAAUGAUUAAAUAUCGCUUAGAAUAUUAUUUUUUGACUCAUUCCACAUAAAAUUUUGCGAUUUAAACAUGCAUGUCAUGUGACAAUACAAGCAAAACCGGCGCACGGCACAUUCGCGGCACAUCAAAAAUUCUAAUAGAUCUCUGAACUGAACUAUAAUACCAUACUUACAGUUUGCAGUAUUAAAUUUAGAUUAUAUUGUAUUUUUUUAUCAUUUUUAAUAUUUUUUUAUCAUGCAGCAAAAUAUUUACUUGAGUGUAAAAAGUCAAGUAAAAACUAUUAUUAGAUUUGAAACUGUUACCUAAUAAAAAUGUAUCAUAUUUAUUACCUAAAAAAAUUUAAAAAUGUUGGGGGUGCCAACUUAGCAUUACUUAUCUGAUAUGCUUCAACAUUAAUAGUGUUUUGUGUCAGCCUUUUAAAUUAAUGGUGUACAAGACAAAAAUUAAACGUUGUAAAGUACCAUCCAACAUGAAUUUUUUUAUUUCCCUGAAUAAGCCUCUAGUUUGUGCCACUAUGUAUAAAGAAUUUUAUUAAAACAUUUUUGUUUGUUUGAAGAUUUUGUUUGAUAAUUUUUUUUUUAGAUAUUUUUAGUCAGAAUUCUUAGGAGAUUUUUUGUCAGGAGUCCGAAGAUAUCUUCAAUCAGGAUCAGGAUGUUAAACCUAUUGAUCAAAGUAUUUAGGAAACUAUACAUAUUGAAUUAGAUCAAAGUGAAGCAACACAAGUAUAAAUUAAUUUUAUGCAAACAAUAAAAAUAUGUUUAUUAAUGUUAAAAUUUAAUUUGCAUUAGGUAUAAAUGAAAUAUUAUAACAACAUAAAUUUAUAUUCUGAUAUAAUGUAUUUUGACUUUUUAAUUUAUCUUGUUUAUUAAAUAAUCAAAUCUUCUAAAUUAAAUUUGCCUAACUGAUUUUUGUAUAAUUUUGUAGCUUGGUUUAGAAAAACUUACAGAAACAGUUGAGGAAACACCCAAAAAAAGGAUUAAAAUAGAUCUAAGGAAUAGUAAAAACACAAACUCAUAUAUAAAGUCUGAUAUAUCAAUAGAAACUCCAUCACUUUUGUUGUACCAACCAUUACAAGAUAAUUAAUAUGAUAAUUUAGUAGCUGCAUCAAGCAAAAGAGGCAUAAGUACAGGGGAAAAUAAAGAAAAUCCGACACACCCUAAAUGAAACCCCCAGUUAUUAAAGAAGACUACAUCAAAACCAUUAAAUGUAAAAAGAAAAAAUCUGUUAACCAAAUUAGAGGCUGCCGAAAAAGUCUCUAUACUAUCAGGGGCAAGAAAAGAAUUAUUAGAGGUGCAGACAAGUUAUUUUAAGAAAGAGUUGGAUUUUCAAGAAAGGGAACACAACCUAAAAUUAUUGAAAGCUGACCAAGAGCUAAAAAAUGGUGCAUGCAAGACGUUUUCAAUUUAAUUAGAGCUUAGUUAUAUGUUAUCUUUGAUCAGUAUUACCAAAGAAUUUGUUAAUUUAGUUAGAAACAGUUGUUUGUGAUAACAAUGUUAUGUUUAUUAUAUUAUUGUUGACUUAUAUAACACUUAAUUAAGAAUUUGUUGAUUUAGGUCAAAGUUUAUUUUGCAAGAAGUUUUCAAUUUAAUUAGA